GCACAAGCAGCGGAGCGUGUGGUUUAAUUCGAUGUUACACGAAGAACCUUACCAGGGUUUGACAUGCAAGUGGUAGGAAGCCGAAAGGUGACCGACCUUCGGGGAGCUUGCACAGGUGCUGCAUGGCUGUCGUCAGCUCGUGUCGUGAGAUGUUCGGUUAAGUCCGCUAACGAGCGCAACCCUCGCUGUGUGUUAUAUGUGUCACACGGGACUGCCGGUCUUAAAGCCGGAGGAAGGUGGGGAUGAUGUCAAGUCAGCAUGGCCUUUAUAUCCUGGGCUACACACACGCUACAAUGGCCAACACAAUAGGUUGCUAAGCCGCGAGGUGGCGCCAAUCCAUAAAGUUGGUCUCAGUUCAGAUUGUAGGCUGCAACCCGCCUGCAUGAAGAUGGAGUUGCUAGUAACCGCAGGUCAGCAAUACUGCGGUGAAUACGUUCCCGGGUCUU
rnacentral:rRNA from 1 species